GACGGAGGAGGCUAGCGUUGUUCGGAAUUACUGGGCGUAAAGCGCACGUAGGCGGCUCGUUAAGUCGGAUGUGAAAGCCCGGGGCUUAACCCCGGAACAGCAUCCGAAACUGGCGAGCUCGAGACCGGGAGAGGAGAGUGGAAUUCCCAGUGUAGAGGUGAAAUUCGUAGAUAUUGGGAAGAACACCUGUGGCGAAGGCGGCUCUCUGGUCCGGUACUGACGCUCAAGUGCGAAAGCGUGGGGAGCAAACAGG
rnacentral:rRNA from 1 species